rnacentral:rRNA from 1 species
ACGACGCUGGCGGCGUGCCUAACACAUGCAAGUCGAACGGGGUAAUGACUUCGGUCAUUACUUAGUGGCGAACGGGUGAGUAACGCGUGAGGAACCUGCCCUUCAGAGGGGGACAACAGUUGGAAACGACUGCUAAUACCGCAUAACGUACAUUGGGGACAUCCCCGAAGUACCAAAGGAGCAAUCCGCUGAAGGAUGGCCUCGCGUCUGAUUAGAUAGUUGGUGAGGUAACGGCUCACCAAGUCGACGAUCAGUAGCCGGACUGAGAGGUUGAACGGCCACAUUGGGACUGAGACACGGUCCAGACUCCUACGGGAGGCAGCAGUGAGGAAUAUUGGUCAAUGGUCUGACGACUGAACCAGCCAUGCCGCGUGAAGGUCACGGCCCUAUGGGUCUUAAACUUCUUUUGUAAGGGAGCAAUAAGGUGUACGUGUACAUCGAUGAGAGUACCUUACGAAUAAGCAUCGGCUAACUCCGUG